UUACCGUAGGUGAACCUGCGGAAGGAUCAUUAAAGAGAAUAUGCCCUUCGGGGUAGAUCUCCCACCCUUUGUUUAUAUUACCUUUGUUGCUUUGGCAGGCCCGUCUUCGGACCACCGGCUUCGGCUGGUCAGUGCUUGCCAGAGGACCCAAAACUCUUAUUAUUAAUGUCGUCUGAGUACUAUAUAAUAGUUAAAACUUUCAACAACGGAUCUCUUGGUUCUG
rnacentral:misc_RNA from 1 species